UUGUGAUAGAAGCUUAUUUGUUUACUUUAGAAGAAAAAGAAAACUCUGGCUUCUCUUAAAGACAGCUUUUUUUUUCCUUCUUUUUCUUCACAAAAGGACCUCAUUUUAGGGUCUGCAAGCUGUUUCCCUUUAAAAGAAUCUAGUAAGUUACAUAUAGUCAAUAUUCAACAUGAGAACAAGCCUCCCACCAGUCUGAAUAGUUAGAUAACGUCCAAGCUCCUGACUAGAUGGUAUCCAGUUGAGAUUUCACCUCUAGUUCUGCCCUCUGAAUCUAGAAGAAAUCUAACCCCUUUCAACAAAGAAGCCCUUCAAAUACCUGAAGACAGCUAUUUAGGUCUCCUGGUAGCUGUGAGGAUUUAAUGAGAUAAUGUGUGUGAAAGUGCUUGGAGAAAGAGAAAGCACCAUACAAAUGUGAGGAAUUAUCAUUAACAACCAGAACUCAGGUUACAUUGGAAAGAAUACCGAAAUGGAGUAAGGAGACCUGGGAAUCCCAUCUGCAUCAUGUACUAUCUAAACAACCCUAGACAAGUCACUUAGCUUCCUGGGCCUCAUCUUCCUCAACAGUAAAUGAGAAAAUUAGGUUAAAAGGCUUUUGAAGUUCUUUCCAGCUAUAGAUCUGUGACCCCAUAAUAAAAUAUUCAAGAAUGACAGUAUGUAAAUAUAUCUACUAAGACUGAAUUAAAGAACACUCAAAGAUAUUUAACUAGCCAUGGCUGUUGAACUGGCCAAAUAUUUCUCAACUAAUUCUGAAUUGCCUGUGGUUCAUAAUCACAUGUCCCUAGAGGAAAACAAGCUAGAUUAUGUAGGAUGGAAAGAGGAAGGUGGUCUUUUCAUUGCCCAUUUCAGCACUCUGUAAUUAAUUUAUAUGGUACCCUAAAGUGACCUCUAUUUUCAUCAAAGUGUCUCUUUCAGGCUUCAUGCAGGCUAGAAAACCUUAAUUUCUUUUACAAUUAAUAGUGGAACUAUUUACAAGGUACUCUCUGAAUAUAACCCCAGGGUCAUUACAAACAUUUACAGCUGAGUACUAUUUUAACAAACUAUAUUUUAAUUAGUCAUUUGUACUCCCAUUAGACCCCUGUUAUUGGUUCAUGGUUUUUAGUUAAUUGGUUUACUUUCUAAGCCAAUCAGAGAGCCACACGUCAAUAAAGUACCACUCUACUAUCACUUUACUGCGCCAGCAUCCGAUAAAAUCAGCACACUUAAAGACCGUCAGCUGGUGCAAUAUAAAACUCAUUAUUAAAUGCAAAACACUAUGUUCAUGCAUUAUCACAACAGCUAAAUUUAAAUUCACAAAAGCUGGCAAAGGAAAUCUUGUAUGACAUUGUCAGAGGCUUAAUGCUUACAUUUUCUGGCUUUUGCAAAGUCAAUAUUGGAUUAUUGGUAUUCUGCACCAAAAUGCCACAAUCUUUAAACUAAAGGAAAAAAAUAACAAAAAGAAAAGAUACAGGAUAAACAACUGUGAGUUGUCUCUAUCAGCACAUUAGUUGCCUCUCCUGGUAUAGCUUAUUAAGUGCAUAUUUUGUAAGGGAGACAUUAAAUGCAUACACUGUUCUGGGAGCCCAAACCCAAAGCAGCCAGGUAGAGGAAAAACCACAGUGAAGACAACAGUGUCAAGGGUGAUGAAGAAGUUGGUCUAUACCUGUCAAUGCCCAGUUAGUUCCCGAUUUCACUGCUUCCCUUAUGCUGGUAACUAAAGAGAACAACAUUGUGCCUUCAAAUUUCACUUAUACUUUGGGUCAACAAAUUUAAAACAAUAAAGAAAAAUGAAACCUUUCAGAUCCUUGGUGGAUGACUUGUAUAGGUUCACUCCUAUUCCAAGACGGAUAUCUAUACUUCAGUGUUCUACUGCC